CUCACUAUUCAACCUACUAUAAGGUUUGGAGCCAUAUCAGGUUGACAAAACUAUUGCAAUGCUGCUUAAUAUGACAUGGCAGGGCAUGAUACAGCUUCAGGAGUUUUUCGGGGUUGGUCUGCCGACAGGCAAACUCAUUCACGUUUUUGGGGGCAGCAUACUUAAUGAGGCUGGGCACGUAGAAUUAGGGAUCACUACUGCACAAGCUCAGGCAGGAACUAGAGAAUUGGGAUGCUAAAACCAUAUUGUGGUUGGGUAGAAAACACACCGUGAAAAUUACUUGUAUAAUAGUUUCC